UCGCUUUGGAAAGCUCCGCCCCACAGGCGCCUCCUCGCCAGGAACCACCCCGGGCGGCGAGGACUAUUUCGGAACCUUCCACGCCAGGCUGCGCCUAGCGCCCCGCCUUUUCCGGAGCUCUGUGGAAAGCUCCGCGCUGCGGCCUCCCGGGGACCAAGAACCGACACCGCCCUACUGACAAUGUGCUGCUCCCCGGGGGUGCUUCCGCCACCCUACGAAGGGCCACUCGCCGCCCGUGUUGCCUCUGUCUGUUCGGAAACAUUCCCCCGACAAACAACCCCCCGCCCUCAAGGCGCCGCUCGGACCUCGGGCUCCUGCAAGACCAAGGGGAUCACGGUAGAGUCUCCCCGAGCGCAAUAGAACAGCACCCCCGUGUGGCCCUGUCCUCCAGAACCCGCGGAAUGGCCGGAUUCGUGGGCUGCAGCAGAGACCCGCCAGACCUAUGCUAAGAGACACUGAAGACCAGAGCUGCCAUGGAAGAACUUUGACUGCCCUGAGGCCGCCAUGAUUAGAGGAAGCCCAAACCAGCCCACAUGGAGAGACCACGUGGAGAAGCCCUGUGAGUACAAGGAGAGAGAGAGCUGCCCACACACCCCCAGCUGGUACCUCAACUGGGACACCCCACUGUCCCAGCUUCAGCCACCAACUCAUUACGUCCAUAUGGGAUCCCAAGGCAGAACUGCCCAGCUGGACCCUUCCCAGAAAUCUGACCACAGACAUGGUGAGAGAUAAAAGGCUUACUGUUGUUGCUUUAAGCCACCGUGUUUUGGAGAGAUUUGUCAUCUAGCGAUGGAAGAAGGUUACUGCUUUACUACCCAUCAGGAGGAAGGAAAAAUUUCUUCUUGCCCAGCAACGGUCCAGCCACUAAAAGGAGACUGUUACAACUCAGCCAGAGAAAAGCGAUUAAGCUUAAAGCUCCCGGUUUCUUCCACCGGACUCAGUUUAUAACAGACCCUCCCAGCGCUCCCUUCUCCUCUGUAAGAGAAUGUGCCUCUCCUUUGUUCUCCCCACUUGCUUGUGCUUUACCGUAGAGUCCACGUCCCAAAUUGUAAUUCUCUGCUAUUCCCAAAUAAACCCAUUUU